rnacentral:piRNA from 1 species
CAGCAGAAAAGUCGUUGAUGUUG